rnacentral:lncRNA from 1 species
AUUCCUUAUGACAGUUUAUAGUGCAUUAUCAACCUCCUCUUUAUUGGAGAGUCUUACUUGCUUUGUCCCCCAGGCUGGAGUGCAGUGGCACAAUCUUGGCUCACUGCAACCUCUGCUUCCCCGGUUCAAGUGAUUCUCAUGCCUCAGCCUCCCAAGUAAAUGGGAUUAGAGGUGCACGCCUCCAUGCCAAGCUAAUUUUUGUAUUUUUAGUAGAGACAGGGUUUCACCAUGUUGGCCAGGCUGGUCUC